rnacentral:rRNA from 1 species
GAUGAACGCUGGCGGCGUGCCUAAUAAAUGCAAGUCGAGCGAAUGGAUUAAGAGCUUGCUCUUAUGAAGUUAGCGGCGGACGGGUGGGUAACACGUGGGUAACCUGCCCAUAAGACUGGGAUAACUCCGGGAAACCGGGGCUAAUACCGGAUAACAUUUUGAACCGCAUGGUUCGAAAUUGAAAGGCGGCUUCGGCUGUCACUUAUGGAUGGACCCGGGUCGCAUUAGCUAGUUGGUGAGGUAACGGCUCACCAAGGCAACGAUGCGUAGCCGACCUGAGAGGGUGAUCGGCCACACUGGGACUGACACACGGCCCAGACUCCUACGGGAGGCAGCAGUAGGGAAUCUUCCGCAAUGGACGAAAGUCUGACGGAGCAACGCCGCGUGAGUGAGGAAGGCUUUCGGGUCGUAAAACUCUGUUGUUAGGGAAGAACAAGUGCUAGUUGAAUAAGCUGGCACCUUGACGGUACCUAACCAGAAAGCCACGGCUAACUACGUGCCAGCCGCCGCGGUAA